GUGCUUGCUUCAGCAGCAUGUACACUAAAGUUGGAACAAUACAGAGAAGACUAGCAUGGCCCCUGUGCAAGGAUGACAUGCAAGUUCACGAGGUGUUCCAUAUUUUU